CCAUUUGAUGGGACAUGAAGUCGAGAUGCAGGUGGUUUGAAAUACUUUGCCUCGUCGAUUUGGCGCUCCAGGUCUUCCAGAGUUGAAUGCAUCUCAAGUAUUAUAUUCUUGUGUUUAACAUUGUUCUUGUAGGGUACUAACUUAUGCGCUACAAUAAUCGGGCAAUUAUGGAGGCUGCUCAAGUACUGCUUUAUUUCGGAGUUGAACAAAUCAUCUAUGUUUCUGAAAUGACGCACUGCUAAAUAAAGGUCUAUACUACGAGGAAUGCGCCUUAUGCUAGUGAGGAAAUUGAGGUGGUUCGUGAGCAAUGGGCUAAGUUUUUUACGAGCAAGUAUUUAUUAUUGGCCUGAGCGCGUUUGAUCGAGUUGGCUUAGAUGUUAUAGAACAAUCUUGUAUAUUAAAAUGUAUGCGUACGUUGAAAUUGGAACGUACAUAUAUUUAAAUGUACUACAUGCACUUUGUUUUGGGAUAUAUAGUAUACAAAACACCAGUUAUUGUUUUUAUAAUUGUUAUACAGGUUGCGAUA